rnacentral:rRNA from 1 species
UACGUAGGGGGCAAGCGUUGUCCGGAAUUAUUGGGCGUAAAGCGCGCGCAGGCGGUCUUCCAAGUCAGUGGUGAAAGCCUGGAGCUCAACUCCAGAACUGCCAUUGAAACUGUUAGACUUGAGUACGAGAGAGGUGAGUGGAAUUCCCAGUGUAGAGGUGAAAUUCGUAGAUAUUGGGAAGAACACCAGUGGCGAAGGCGGCUCACUGGCUCGUAACUGACACUCAGGCGCGACAGCGUGGGGAUCAAACAGG